rnacentral:ncRNA from 1 species
UUUUCUCAUAUAGUCAGCAUACGCCGCAACACGCGGGCGGCGUACCGUACAGAGAGAAGAAAAGGGGCAUAUUUCCCUGCUUGCAGCGAUGCGAGCAAAACAAAAAUUUCCAUGAAUACGGUUAGUAGCAAAAGCAAAGGGCGUAACGCAUGG